rnacentral:tRNA from 1 species
GGAAGCGCAUGGGGUCCGGUGAUCCUCCUGGUCUUCAAAACCAGCGCUCGACAGCUUCGCGCUGCCGAGGGUCGGUUCGACUCCGACACGCUUCCGCCA